AAAAGAAACUAACAAGGAUUCCCCUAGUAACGGCGAGUGAACCGGGAAGAGCUCAAAUUUGUAAUCUGGCUGUCUUCGAUAGUCCGAGUUGUAAUCUAUAGAAGCGUUUUCCGUGCUGAACUGUGUAUAAGUCCCUUGGAACAGGGUAUCAAAGAGGGUGACAAUCCCGUACUUUACACAAUCAUCAGUGCUCUGUGAUACGUUCUCUACGAGUCGAGUUGUUUGGGAAUGCAGCUCAAAAUGGGUGGUAAAUUCCAUCUAAAGCUAAAUAUUGGCGAGAGACCGAUAGCGAACAAGUACCGUGAGGGAAAGAUGAAAAGCACUUUGGAAAGAGAGUUAAACAGUACGUGAAAUUGUUAAAAGGGAAACGAUUGAAGUCAGUCGUGUUUAUUGGAUUCAGCCGGUCUUCGGUGUACUUCCUUUAAACGGGUCAACAUCAGUUUUGUUCGGUGGAUAAAGAUGCUAGGAAUGUAGCUUCCUCGGAAGUGUUAUAGACUAGUAUUGCAUACACUGGAGGAGACUGAGGACUGCAGCUCGCCUUUUGGCCGGGGUCGCCCAC
rnacentral:rRNA from 1 species